CAGAUCACCAGCAUGACGAUUCUCAUCCUCAGGGCCACCGUGAUCUUUGCUAGCAGGGUUGAAAUGUAGCCCUGCAAAAGUUGAGCAUGGAGAAUUUCACAUAAAUGGAAGCAGAUUUAGUCAACUGAGCAAUAAGCAUGUAGAGAAGAAAAUUUUCCCUGCCAGUUAACAAUACCAGUCGACAAGCAGCCAUUUGUUGUGUCUCCAAAGGUAUGAACAUGGAAACCAUGAAGCCCCGGCUUAAGGCCAGAAACACUUCCAGUUACGGUGGUUGGACCAUCUCCUUCUUGGGUGAAGAAGAUUUUCCCGCUAAUGCCCUCACUGCUGGUAAUAACAGCAACGGCCUUCAACAUUGUUCUAUGUGAUCUAAAGAUGAAAAUUAAAAAGCUGCAAAUAAGGUGGAGGAGAGAG
rnacentral:misc_RNA from 1 species